UAAUUCUCAACCAAUUGGGCCCGUGUGGCCCGCGUUUGGCUUGGACUUGGGAGCUGCUGGCGUCGCAAGACGUCGGCUCUCCUCAAACGCAUUAGCGGACCCAGCGGUGCCACGGCCUCGUUCGACGUGAUAACGAUCGUCGUCGGGCUGGAGCCAGAUCUGCUUCUAACCCGGUCCGCUCAGCUACUAGCCCCUCCGGGGGCGAACGCGAGCGGCCUCCCCUCC
rnacentral:misc_RNA from 1 species